rnacentral:misc_RNA from 1 species
GAAACCACUCUUGACCUUAUCUGCGCAGCAGAACAUAUGGACAAGAGGCAGCGAAAUAUAUAAUUUCAUAAUCAAAUUCUUAUCUCCUUUUCAGUUCAUCCAAACAAGUAAAAAUUGCUAACUGAAAAUCUAUUAAAUUAGUUCCCCAUAAAGAAUGAUAAAUCAAUGGAGAGAAGAUAUACCCUCUUCAGGAUUCUGAAACUU